rnacentral:tRNA from 1 species
GGAUACAUAGCUCAGUGGCACAGUGCCUGCCUGGCAAGUACAAGGUCCCGGGUUCAAAUCCUGGUACCA